rnacentral:lncRNA from 1 species
GAGAGGGCAAAGCUACUCAAUUCUCAUUUUGUAUCUGUUUUCUUUGCAAGCAGCCUUUAAACUAGAAAUGUCAGAAGAGUAGAGCAUUGAUACCCAAGUAAACAAAGGGAUUAGAAAGCAACUAAACUGCCUUUGAUGAAUUCAGGCCAUGUGAACCAGAUGAACUAUAUACUUGGGUCCUGAAAGGACCAACAGAUAUGAUUUGUUGAGAUACUGUCAGCUAUUUGAAAAAUAAUUGAAAUAGAAAAAGGUAAUAGAAAAUUCUAAAAAAAGAAACAGGACAGAACAUGGAAAACUAUAGGCCAGUGAACCUCAGUUCCUAGGAAUAUUGUAGAAAACAAGGAUUUUCAAAUUUUCCAAAAAAUGAAAUAAGAGCGACUACUAUAGGCCAGAGAACUUGACUUCACUUCCUAGAAAUAUUCUAGAAUGGAUGGUUAAAAGACUGUUUGGUAAACUCACAUGUUUUUAAUCCUGCCCACACAGUCUUUAUCCAUUGUCAUGACUUCAGAGAAGUUGCUAACCCUCCCUACCAACUGCCAGCCAACUGGUACCAACAGGGCAGCUAAGCCAGCCAAACUGGAAUGGCAAGAUACCUUGAGGGAGGUACAGGAAGUGACAUGAGCCUGUAAAGUCAAAGCACCACCACUCUCUGAACCACCACCUACCCUCAUACCUUGGUGGAGACAGCCCAGGGCUCUAAUCCCAAAAGCCUUGGGGAUAAUAGCAACCCUCCCCCAACUGGCUUUCUCUCUAGUUCAGCCUUUGAAGUAUCUUCCAGAAAAUUAACCUUUGUGGGGACAUGAGCUGAUAACUGAGUCUAUAGUUCCUGAAACCUUUGCCUCAAGUAAUAUCUACCAAAGAAAAGAAAUUUCUCAUAACCUAACUUCUUGGCACUUUCAGAUAGUUCAACACCAAAAAUACAUGUGGUUUUAUUAGUGAAAAUAACAUUAAAGAGGAUGCAUGGUUAUCUGUUUUGACUUAACUCCCCCACAAAAAAUAGAAACCUGUGUGUUGUCUCCCUUAAUUAGAAUGUGAGGUCCCCAAGAGCUGGAACUGUAUUGUUUCCUUGUUUGUCUUACAUUAGCAAGUUAGUGUUAGCACCAUGCUUUGCACAUAGCAAGCAUUUAAAAACACCUUCUCAUUCAUUCACUUAAAACACAGAAGUAAUAUUAUAAAAAUUAAACAUUUUUUAGACAAAAUUACUAAACUAGUGGAUGAAGAGAAUGUCAUGGAUAUCAUUUCUACCCUAGGAAAAGAGAAGGGCUUGGGAAGAAAGAUAAUGAGGUCAGUUUUUGACAUAUUGACUUCAGAUGUUGACUAGACAUCCAGUUUGAAACGAAGAUAAUCUGAAAGGAGAGAAAGCACUAGCAAUGGGGAGGGAUGGACAAUUUGAACUGACUCUAGAAGGAAGUCAAGAAAGAAAAGAGGAGGAGGUUGAAAGAUAAGGCAUUCUAUACACGGUGAACAUAUAAUACAAAGUGAUCACAGAACACCAAAAAAAAAAAAAAAAUUUAAAAAAAAAAAAACACUGUGUUCAAGGAACUGCAAGAAAACCAGUAUAACUGGAUCUUGGAAUGCAAGGGAACAAGAAGGUUAUAAAUAUGGGAAAGUUAAAAAAAAAAAAAACACUAAAUGCCAAAGGAUGUUAUAUUUGAUCUUGGCAGUAAUAUGGCAUUAGUAUAAUUUAUUGUGUGCAGGCAAAAAAAAAAAAAAGAUAAGGGUAACAUAAUCAGAUCUCAGUCUUAGAAAAAUCACUUUGAAAGCUGAAUAGAAAAGCUAUUGGGAUCCAGGAGAGACUUGAGGGAGUAAAACCCACUAGAAGGUUAAUUCAAUAAUCUAGGCAAGAGGUGAUGAGGAAAUUGAACUAGGGUGGUAACUGUGUGUAAGAGUGGAAAGGAGAGAUAAGGGACAUCUUGAAAACAGAAACGAGAAAUUUAGAAUGGCAUUGAGAAUUGAAUUUAGUGACUGAAACAAUGGGGAUAGCCUAGAAAAUAAUAUGGGAAUUAGCAAGGGGAAGGGGUUUUUUGGUGAGUAAGAAUUCUAAUUUGGGCAUUUUGAAGUUGAGAUGCCUCCAGGAUCUUUGAUUGGAAAUCUCUAAGAAGAUUAUGGUUAUAUAAGACUAGAGUUCAAAAGAAAGUUUUGGACUUGAUCUUUAAAUGUGAGAGUCAUGUACAUAAGGAUCAUACUUGAGUUCAUGGGAGCUAAUAAUCGCCAAAUUAGUGGAGAACAAAAAGGCAAAUUCAUUAGGGAUAAAUGUAAAGCUUUUGUAUGUGGGUAUAAGAAAUCAACUUCCUUUUUAAGUAAUAGGUGUCCUGAAAAAGAUCUGGAGGUUUUCAUGAAAUCCAGGCUUAAUGUGUGUCAGCAAUGAUAUAUAGUAGCUAAAAAAAAAAAAAAAAAAAAAGGAAAGAAAGAAAAUCUAAGGCAUCUUGAGGUGCAUAUUAAGAGGGAUAUCAAUUCCAGGAAUAGGGAAGUGAUAGUUCUAUCUACUUUCCUCAGACCUCCUGUAAAGCAUAAUGUUCAAUUCUUGAUAUUACUCUAAGAAAGAUACUAAUAAAAAAAAAAAAAAGAAAGAUAUUUAGGAUAGUGAAAUUGUUCAAAUUGAGAAGGGGGACCCCAAAAGUCCCAGACCAGUGUCACGAGGUGUCUCAAAAGAAUUUACAAGCUUGAACCCAUCUCCUAGUCAAGAAGCAUACUUUAUUAAAAGCAAUGUAUUGCCAUUACCAAGAGGAUUGUAAGGGGA